rnacentral:rRNA from 1 species
UACGGAGGGUGCAAGCGUUGUCCGGAAUCAUUGGGUGUAAAGGGUGCGUAGGCGGGUUUUUAAGUCUGGGGUGAAAGGCUGCGGCUCAACCGUAGGAUUGCCCUGGAUACUGGAGAUCUUGAGAAUAACAGAGGCCGGUAGAAUUCGUGGUGUAGCGGUGAAAUGCAUAGAUAUCACGAAGAAUACCAGUGGCGUAGGCGGCCGGCUGGGUUAUUACUGACGCUGAGGCACGAGAGCGUGGGGAGCAAAC